CCUACGGGUGGCAGCAGUGAGGAAUAUUGGUCAAUGGACGAGAGUCUGAACCAGCCAAGUAGCGUGAAGGAUGAAUGCACUAUGGGUUGUAAACUUCUUUUAUAUGGGAAUAAAAUGUUCCACGUGUGGGAUUUUGUAUGUACCAUAUGAAUAAGGAUCGGCUAACUCCGUGCCAGCAGCCGCGGUAAUACGGAGGAUCCGAGCGUUAUCCGGAUUUAUUGGGUUUAAAGGGAGCGUAGGUGGAUUGUUAAGUCAGUUGUGAAAGUUUGCGGCUCAACCGUAAAAUUGCAGUUGAAACUGGCAGUCUUGAGUACAGUAGAGGUGGGCGGAAUGCGUGGUGUAGCGGUGAAAUGCUUAGAUAUCACGAAGAACUCCGAUUGCGAAGGCAGUUCACUGGACUGCAACUGACACUGAGGCUCGAAAGUGUGGGUAUCAAACAGGAUUAGAUACCCGGGUAGUC
rnacentral:rRNA from 1 species